ACUGAAGUAUUUAUAGCACUAAAUACAUAUAGCCGCCAUCGGUUGUAUUGAAUGUAGCUCGGAGUACAGGAUGACCAGCCCGAUAAGUCAAUACGUAAAUCCUCUUA
rnacentral:sRNA from 12 species